rnacentral:rRNA from 1 species
CCUACGGGAGGCAGCAGUGAGGAAUAUUGGUCAAUGGCCGAGAGGCUGAACCAGCCAAGUCGCGUGAGGGAAGACGGCCCUACGGGUUGUAAACCUCUUUUGUCGGGGAGCAAAGCGAACCACGUGUGGUUCAUUGAGAGUACCCGCAGAAAAAGCAUCGGCUAAAUCCGUGCCAGCAGCCGCGGUAAUACGGAGGAUGCGAGCGUUAUCCGGAUUUAUUGGGUUUAAAGGGUGCGCAGGCGGAGGUGCAAGUCAGCGGUCAAAGUGCGGGGCUCAACCCCGUACUGCCGUUGAAACUGCAUCCCUUGAGUGCGCGAGAAGUAUGCGGAAUGCGUGGUGUAGCGGUGAAAUACAUAGAUAUCACGCAGAACUCCGAUUGCGAAGGCAGCUUACUAAACUGCCACUGACAUUGAUGCUCGAAAGUGUGGGUAUCAAACAGGAUUAGAUACCCGAGUAGUC